CAGGCCUAACACAUGCAAGUCGAACGGACGAUCCCGUCGCAGCGGACUGAGGAUUCGUCUGACGUCCAAAGCGUGGGCAGGUUAGUGGCGCACGGGUGAGUAACACGUAGGUGACCUGCCCCGAAGGGGGGAUAACUACUGGAAACGGUAGCUAAUACCCCAUGUGGUCGGCGAUCGUUUCGCUGAUUAAAGCUCCGGCGCUUCGGGAGGGGCCUGCGGCCGAUAGCUAGUUGGUGGGGUAAUGGCUCACCAAGGCGAUAAUCGGUAGCUGGUUGAGAGGACGAUCAGCCACACUGGCACUGACACACGGGCCAGACUCCUAGGGAGGCAGCAGUGAGGAAUAUUGCGCAAUGGGCGAAAGCCUGACGCAGAACGCCGUGUGGGCGAUGAAGGCCUUCGGGUUGUAAAGCCCUUUUCUGGGGAAGAGGAAGGACGGUACCCCAGGAAUAAGUCUCGGCUAACUACGUGCAGCAGCCGCGGUAAU
rnacentral:rRNA from 1 species